rnacentral:rRNA from 1 species
AAUAUUGCGCAAUGGGGGGCACCCUGACGCAGCAACGCCGCGUGAGUGAAGAAGGUCUUCGGAUUUGACGGUACCUAAGGAGGAAGCCCCGCCUAACUACGUGCCAGCAGCCGCGGUAAUACGUAGGGGGCAAGCGUUGUCCGGAAUUAUUGGGCGUAAAGGGUGCGUAGGCGGCCUUUUAAGUCAGAUGUGAAAGCCCACGGCUUAACCGUGGGACUGCAUUUGAAACUGGAGGGCUUGAGUAUCGGAGAGGGUAGUGGAAUUCCCAGUGUAGCGGUGGAAUGCGUAGAUAUUGGGAGGAACACCAGUGGCGAAGGCGACUACCUGGACGAAAACUGACGCUGAGGCACGAAAGCUAGGGGAGCAAAC